AACGAACGCUGGCGGCAGGCUUAACACAUGCAAGUCGAACGCCCCGCAAGGGGAGUGGCAGACGGGUGAGUAACGCGUGGGAACGUGCCCUUCGCUUCGGAAUAUUCCCGGGAAACUGGGAGCAAUGCCGAAUACGCCGUAUUGGGAAAGAUUUAUCGGCGAAGGAUCGGCCCGCGCUAGAUUAGGUAGUUGGCGGUGUAAUGGACCACCAAGCCUACGAUCUAUAGCUGGUCUGAGAGGAUGAUCAGCCACACUGGGACUGAGACACGGCCCAGACUCCUACGGGAGGCAGCAGUGGGGAAUCUUGGACAAUGGGCGCAAGCCUGAUCCAGCCAUGCCGCGUGAGUGAAGAAGGCCUUAGGGUUGUAAAACUCUUUCGCCGGAGAAGAUAAUGACGGUAUCCGGAGAAGAAGCCCCGGCUAACUUCGUGCCAGCCGCCGCGGUAAUAC
rnacentral:rRNA from 1 species